GGGAUACAGGCCAAUUCUAACCGUCGAACUUCAUUCGCUCUUCCGAGCAGAGUCUAUCCUGUCGAGAAAAAGAGGAGGAGAAAGGAUUCCCAGGGUAGCCAAUCCCUGAACAGAAAAUGUACGCGAUAAAAUAGAAUGGGAGAUGCAGAGGAAGAACCAAGAAUCAGGGAGGAUUCGAUAUAUAUAUAUACAAAGGAGGAGUGGUCAGAGACUAACGUCGCUGUUCAAGGGGGCAACAUGUCAGGUCCACAUCAUGUCCUGCCAUUCUGUUGGAAGGGGGAGGAGAGAACAGCUUUUUGGCAUUUUUUCACAUGCUUUUGCUUCAUGGGCUUUUUCAGAUUUUUCCUGACUUUACUGCAACCACACUCUCUCAGUAAAAGUUCUUUUGAUUCAA